CCUAAUCAUUCAUUCAUUCUUCAAUAACAUAACUAUACGCUGAAUAUGUCUAAUAAUUUGAAGUCUCCAUCUUUGUCCUGUCAUGUGUUGAUUUCUCUUCUCGUGAUGCCAGACUGUGCCUGAGGUUACCAGAAGAGACACCAAGAGUCCUGCUGGGUCUUCAUCAGGAAAUCACGUUGAGGAUGAAUUUAAUGAUGAAGACGACACAAUCAUAGAAUCAGUGAGUUCUCUGAUAUUGUGUUAAUCUUUGUCUUUAGCAGCUAUAAAUGGUCUUUUGUUGUUAUACGUUUA